GUCUACGGCCAUACCACCCUGAACGUGCCCGAUCUGGUCUGAUCUCGGAAGCUAAGCAGGGUCGGGCCUGGUUAGUGCUUGGAUGGGAGAAAUUGUAACAUUUGGUGAAAGCAGAAA
rnacentral:rRNA from 1 species